rnacentral:rRNA from 1 species
UCGGGAAUUUUGGGCAAUGGGCGAAAGCCUGACCCAGCAACGCCGCGUGAAGGAUGAAGUAUUUCGGUAUGUAAACUUCGUAAGAAUAGGAAGAAUAAAUGACGGUACUAUUUGUAAGGUCCGGCUAACUACGUGCCAGCAGCCGCGGUAAUACGUAGGGACCAAGCGUUGUUCGGAUUUACUGGGCGUAAAGGGCGCGUAGGCGGUGUGUCAAGUCAGUUGUGAAAUCUCCGAGCUUAACUCGGAACGGUCAACUGAUACUGUCACACUAGAGUACAGAAGGGGCAAUCGGAAUUCUUGGUGUAGCGGUGAAAUGCGUAGAUAUCAAGAGGAACACCUGAGGUGAAGACGGGUUGCUGGGCUGACACUGACGCUGAGGCGCGAAAGCCAGGGGAGCAAACGGGAUUAGAUACCCACGUAGUCCCUGAGCGGGCUGGCAAGGCGCAU